rnacentral:lncRNA from 10 species
ACCGUGAUCUUGGACUUCUCAGCUUCUAGAAUGGUGGACAUGGACUCCAUGGAAGCCUGAGCUGCCAGGGGCUUCCCUGGGGCAGCACUGCUUCGCGUAGGCUCACGAGAAACUUCCAGGGUUCCUGGCGCCAGCCUUUCAACAGAGCAGCACAUUAUGCCUGGAUAAGACUCAAAGAGCAGCUUAAUAUCAGGUUCUCUGGGGCUGUAAUCAUCGGUUCAGGAUGGAGCAGACACAGCCGCAGCAAGGCCUCUGUGCAGCCCCCGGUUUAAAACACAUCAACGCAUCCGUGGGCACUUUUCGUAAGAAAAAUCACAUCCUGUUCCCCAGUAGCUGAGGAAAGCCGGCUCACGAGAGUAUACAGGGAGAAGAGGCCAGCAUUGUGUGGCUGCCAGCAAAGCUCACUUGUAUGUCAAAUGCAGCGCUUUUCUUAGCCCAUUAUGUAUUUUUUUUUUCUUGAACACUCCUGUGUCUACUGGGAUCUCCUGUUUUUAUUGUUUUGGGAUGAGAUUUUAAAAACACCAUUUAAUGUAGCCUGUGUGCUCUUGUUCAUUAAACCAAAAAGAAACCCUG